rnacentral:rRNA from 1 species
CGAACUCUUCGGAGUUAGUGGCAGACGGGUGAGUAACGCGUGGGAACCUACCUUUAGGUACGGAACAACAGUUGGAAACGACUGCUAAUACCGUAUGAGCCCUAUGGGGGAAAGAUUUAUCGCCUAAGGAUGGGCCCGCGUUGGAUUAGCUAGUUGGUGGGGUAAAGGCCUACCAAGGCGACGAUCCAUAGCUGGUCUGAGAGGAUGAUCAGCCACACUGGGACUGAGACACGGCCCAGACUCCUACGGGAGGCAGCAGUGGGGAAUAUUGGACAAUGGGGGCAACCCUGAUCCAGCCAUGCCGCGUGAGUGAUGAAGGCCCUAGGGUUGUAAAGCUCUUUCAGCGAGGAGGAUAAUGACGUUACUCGCAGAAGAAGCCCCGGCUAACUUCGUGCCAGCAGCCGCGGUAAUACGGAGGGGGUUAGCGUUGUUCGGAAUUACUGGGCGUAAAGCGUACGUAGGCGGACCAUUAAGUUGGGGGUGAAAUCCCGGGGCUCAACCCCGGAACUGCCUCCAAAACUGCUGGUCUUGAGUUCGAGAGAGGUGAGUGGAAUUCCGAGUGUAGAGGUGAAAUUCGUAGAUAUUCGGAGGAACACCAGUGGCGAAGGCGG